GGAGAGGUGCCGGAGAUGGCCGAUCGGAAUCGCCUGCUAAGCGAUUAGCCUGCCACAAGCGGGCUCCUGGGUUCGAAUCCCAGCCUCUCCG
rnacentral:tRNA from 1 species